GAUGAACGCUGGCGGCGUGCCUAAUACAUGCAAGUCGAACGAGGUGCUUUUGUAGCAAUACGAAAGUAUCCUAGUGGCGAACGGGUGAGUAACGCGUUGGUGACCUACCCCAAAGUGUGGGAUAACAGUUCGAAAGAACUGCUAAUACCGCAUGUGGUUAUCGGAUUUAGAAACUGAUAACUAAAGGAGCAAUUCGCUUUGGGAGGGACCUGCGUCCCAUCAGCUAGUUGGUAGGGUAAUGGCCUACCAAGGCUACGACGGGUAGCUGGUCUAAGAGGAUGGCCAGCCACACUGGAACUGAGACACGGUCCAGACUCCUACGGGAGGCAGCAGUGGGGAAUCUUGCGCAAUGGGCGAAAGCCUGACGCAGCGACGCCGCGUGGGUGACGAAGGCCUUC
rnacentral:rRNA from 1 species